GGUGCCAUAGUAUAGUGGUUAGUACAGCACGUUGUGGCCGUGCAAACAUGGGUUCGAUUCCCAUUGGCGCCA
rnacentral:tRNA from 1 species